rnacentral:rRNA from 1 species
AGUGAACGCUGGCGGUAGGCCUAACACAUGCAAGUCGAACGGCAGCACAGUAAGAGCUUGCUCUUACGGGUGGCGAGUGGCGGACGGGUGAGGAAUACAUCGGAAUCUACUUUUUCGUGGGGGAUAACGUAGGGAAACUUACGCUAAUAUCGCAUACGACCUACGGGUGAAAGCAGGGGAUCUUCGGACCUUGCGCGAUUGAAUGAGCCGAUGUCGGAUUAGCUAGUUGGCGGGGUAAAGGCCCACCAAGGCGACGAUCGGUAGCUGGUCUGAGAGGAUGAUCAGCCACACGAGAAGUGAAACACGGUCAAGAGUCCUACGGGAGGCAGCAGUGGGGAAUAUUGGGCAAUGGGCGCAAGCAUGAUCCAGCCAUACCGCGUGGGAGAAAAAGGCCUUCGGGUUGUAAAGCCCUUUUGUUGGGAAAGAAAAGCAGCAGGUUAAUACCCCGCGGUACUGACGGUACCCAAAGAAUAAGCACCGGCUAACUUCGUG